AUACUUUCGGAGUGUUUUAGAGAAAAUAUUGAAGAAAAGCAGUUCCGCAACCAGGUUUGUUUUUAUUUCCUAUCGAUUUGUUUUUUUCAGGGUCAUUGCAUCGAUAUUUUUGUUUACCUUUUUCGUGGCUUUUACUCUUCCUCUUCCAGUAAGGUUAUCCAUUUGUUGUAUACCUUUUAAGUUUAAAAGAUUGAGCUUUCAGGUUGCUUACAUUUCCCAUGCAUGACAACUAAUUUGUAUAGAGGAUUCAUGACAAUCAUGAAUUAGCAGGUGCUUCAGCAUGUUUAUGGAAUUCUAUUACACUGCCAAAACGUAAGCAAAUGUUUCUGAACGCUCAAAAUUAAUUUAGAAAAUAGUUCUUUUGAAAGAAAAUGGAAGAUAUUUCUUUUAGUACUUUUUUUGUUUUGUUCUUUUAGCACAAAACAUGCUGUAAACAGAAAUUAUCUUUUUCCUUAUCGCAACAAUGAUAUUUCCUUGGUAGAGACCAUUCUCAUGGCAAUGUAGCAUGUAUCAACUGGAACACAUUUCUCAAUCCAUAGCCAGUAGAAAUAGACAAAGGAGUGUGGAAAUGGUAAUUCAAGCGUUCAUCUAAGGUAUUGGUACUUCUUUUAAAAGAAAAUCUAUAUAUUAAGCUCAUAAUAUAUAGGAGUAUAAUUUUUCUCGGGGUAGCUUAUAGCCUAUUGUUCACUUUUAAGACUUUCCUUCAAGACCUCUAACUUUAGACUGUGAACAUCGUCAAAUCUUAGCCUUCUUGGGUUCAAAUUUUCGAGCUAAUGUAAUUUUUUAAAUAUAUAUGCCAACACAAUUUAAGUUUUAUUUUCAUCCUUUUUGAUUUACACUGAAGUAGUUAUGUCUAUAUAUAUCUUGAGACUGAAUACAAAAGACACUAAGAAAUUCUUGAGACAUUGCAAAACAGAAUGACUUAAUCGUUCAAUGGCUUGACUAUAUCCUUUCGUAGAGUGGAAAAGGUGAAUUUACUCUUUUUCAUCAAAUGAAUUGUUCCUAAGGCAAAACCAAGUGAAGUUACUUUCAAUAUGAUGUUUGAAAACAUUGAUGAGAAGUAUAUUUUUUGGCAUUUGAAUGUGUUUGUCAGUUGCCUUUUUUUACUUCAUAUUUGUUAUGAACUUGCUGAUGUGCUCAAAUAUUCCAUCCAUCAUUUUUGUUAUUAUUUAUUCUAUUGGAUUAGCUUAAGAGAUAAGUUUAUUUUUAUGAUACUUCCAGUUUUUUUUUUUGCUUGAAAAUGUGACGUUAUCUUCUUUGAGAAAUUACUUUCACAUCACAAUAGUGAGCUGUGAGCAGUAUCCCUUUAUUGGGAUGGAGAAGGGAAAAGGCCAGUGCAAUACCCUGCUUCCUAUUGAGGCUUUGACUGCACAAUUACACUCUGUAGUGGAAAGGAGGCAAAUAUUAUUCAAACUUAAACCUUUGUAGUGGAAGGAAAAUAGUAACUUUGUACAACUGCUGCUCUGGAUAGUUUAUCCUUUUGUACGAGUGAUGAACUAAAAACAUUCUGUUAUCUUUCAACUAUACACUUUUUUGUGUAUAAACUAUCAUGGCAAUGUAGCUAUAUCUUUUUUUAGUUGAAUGUAGU
rnacentral:lncRNA from 1 species